UCCCUGUGGCUCAGACACUAAAGAAUCUGCCUGCAAUGCAGGAGACCCAGGUUCGAUUCCUGGAUUGGGAA
rfam:TPA: Bos taurus chromosome 21, whole genome shotgun sequence.